UGCAAGAGUAAGGUCGAUGAUGGAUGAUC
rnacentral:sRNA from 1 species